rnacentral:rRNA from 1 species
AUUGAACGCUGGCGGCAGGCCUAACACAUGCAAGUCGAGCGAGCGGCGGACGGGUGAGUAAGGUCUGGGAAACUGCCUGAUGGAGGGGGAUCAAUACUGGAAACGGUAGCUAAUACCGCAUACCAUCAGAUGUGCCCAGAUGGGAUUAGAUAGUAGGUGGGGUAAUGGCUUACCUAGGCGACGAUCCCUCGCUGGUCUGAGAGGAUGACCAGCCACACUGGAAGUGAGACACGGCCCAGACUCCUACGGGAGGCAGCAGUGGGGAAUAUUGAAAAAUGGGAGAAAGCCUGAUGCAGCAAUGCCGCGUGGGUGAAGAAGGCCUUCGGGUUGUAAAGCACUGUAAGCGGGGAGGCGUUACCCGAAGAAGAAGCACCGGCUAACUCCGUGCCAGCAGCCGCGGUAAUAC